UACGUGCGACUGGCGGAUCAGUGGGAUUAAACCACAGGGAGCACGAUACAAAAAGCCGACCGCCUGGGCAU
rnacentral:ncRNA from 1 species